rnacentral:rRNA from 1 species
AUUGAACGCUGGCGGCAUGCCUUACACAUGCAAGUCGAACGGCAGCACGGGUGCUUGCACCUGGUGGCGAGUGGCGAACGGGUGAGUAAUACAUCGGAACAUGUCCUGUAGUGGGGGAUAGCCCGGCGAAAGCCGGAUUAAUACCGCAUACGAUCUACGGAUGAAAGCGGGGGACCUUCGGGCCUCGCGCUAUAGGGUUGGCCGAUGGCUGAUUAGCUAGUUGGUGGGGUAAAGGCCUACCAAGGCGACGAUCAGUAGCUGGUCUGAGAGGACGACCAGCCACACUGGGACUGAGACACGGCCCAGACUCCUACGGGAGGCAGCAGUGGGGAAUUUUGGACAAUGGGCGAAAGCCUGAUCCAGCAAGGCCGCGUGUGUGAAGAAGGCCUUCGGGUUGUAAAGCACUUUUGUCCGGAAAGAAAUCCUUGGCCCUAAUACGGUCGGGGGAUGACGGUACCGGAAGAAUAAGCACCGGCUAACUACGUG